GUGCUUGCUUUGGUACCACAUAUACUAAAAUUGGAACGAUAUAGAGAAGAUUAGCAUGGCCCAUACACAAGGAUGACAUGCAAAUUGGUGAAGGGAUCUAUUAUUUA
rnacentral:snRNA from 1 species